GAUGAACGCUGGCGGCGUGCUUAACACAUGCAAGUCGAACGGAAAGGCCGAAGUUUUCUUCGGUACUCGAGUGGCGAACGGGUGAGUAACACGUGGGUGACCUGCCCUGUACUUUGGGAUAAGUUCGGGAAACUGGGUCUAAUACCGGAUAUGACGUCCUCCUGGAUGGGGUUGUGGAAAGCUUUUGCGGUGUGGGGUGUGCUCGCGGCGUAUCUGAUUGUGUGUGGGGUAUUGUGCUAUCAAGGCGUCGUCGCGUAGCCGGCGUGUGAGGGUGUACGGCGACAUUGGGGGUGAGAUACAGCCCAGACACCUACGGGGGGCAGAGGUGGGGAAUAUAGCACAAUGGGGGCGAGACUGAUGCAGCGAAGCCGCGUGGGGGGUGAGGGCGUUCGGGUUGUAAACUCCGUUCGCGCUCGACGAAGCCUUUUGGUGACGGUAGGUUGAGAAGAAGCACCGGCUAACUACGUG
rnacentral:rRNA from 1 species